UGAACUCAGAGGUAGGGACUAAGCA
rnacentral:piRNA from 1 species